CACAGUGGAGCCCUGGUUGAGACUCCCUUGCACGAUAUAUAGUGUGCUGCUUGUGGGGUUUUACUUGUAACUUUAUUUUAAUUAGUUAAUUAUUGCAGGGCUGAGGCCGCCACUACUCCUAGCCCCUUGAUGAUUCAGGAAUGCCUCUACUGGCUGAGCACGCCCUCCGUCCCUCAGUGAUCCAGUCAGACAGGAAUUCAUCACUGAGCCACUACUCCGGACUCCCAGCUCCUAGCUCAUGUCCCUGCAGUGUAUCCAGUAAACUAAAUUUAGACCCUCGGGGACAACAGAGAAGGAGCCAUGUGGCCCAGAUCUCUGUCUUCGUGUGCGGUGGGCUAUAUGACAUGCUUGCCUUCUCCGAUCUGAAAACCUAGGCUAGAUUUGGGUCUAGUGAAACAACUUGGGGGUUGGGGAAAAGGCUACAAUCGGAAACUGCGCAUUUCUGUAACAAUAACUUCAGACAAAGUAAGAUGAAGAGGUUUGAAAAAUAAAUACAAUUG
rnacentral:lncRNA from 1 species